UUUUUCAAUGGCAAAUAAAACGUCCUGUCCUUUGGUUUAUUUACAAAAUUAUCCCUAUGAUAAUUUCCCCAUAUUUUAAGUACUGAAUGUCCUGUGUUUGCCUCAAGUCUUUCCUUUGAGUCACCCUAUGGGAUUCUGUUUAAAUUAAAAAGUCAGCAUAGAUAUUCAUAGAUUUUACUCAAGAGAUAUCUUUCUUUGACGUCCUUUGUUGUUCUUUUUAUACAACACCAUGCUCCGUAAUUCUGGCAAAGUCACAUACUGCUUCAGUCAAGGACAAAGAGUGUGCUUGACCUGAAAAAAAGAACCAAAACUUUGAGUCUGGAAUAUUUAUCAUUUCGAUCCCAUCAAUAAAUGCUCUCAGUGAGAUAAAGUCUAGUUUUGUAUUUCGUUUAAGCAUUUAGUAUGGAAAAUAACUAUAUGGCUUUAUUCCAUGAGCACAGUGCUGUGCCCGUGACAGAAAGCCAUUAACUCUUUGAUAAAUGAACAUUUCAUAAACAUUGGAAUGGCAGAGAGCUAAAGUGCUCGUGUUACCAAACUGAACUGGGGUCAGCUUGCCAACCGAGCAGCAAAACCAAUAUACUGGCAAGGGGUUAUGGUCAAGGAAGGUGUAGCACCCAGCAAGGAAUACAGGCUGCUCGUGCUCCAAAGGUACGACCUCCCUCAUGGCUUGCAUGGAAGGACGAUUAAAGCAACCUUUGGGGUGAGGGCUGCCGCUCAUGGACGGUCUUCGGAUUGGUUGGUGGGAGGUCACAGAGGAUGCUUCCGGAAACUUAGUUGUCCAUCUAAUUCCAGCCAGUCUGGGAUCUCCGUGUUUGUGCUCAGCCUGCAGUCACCAUCCUCCACCUGAGUGGGGGUCUUAGUCCCUGCAAAUCACUCAGAUGUGCGCCAGACUCUGAUCACCUGAGUGGGGGUCUUAGUCCCUGCAAAUCACUCAGAGAUGUGCGCCAGACUCUGAUCACCUGAGUGGGGGUCUUAGUCCCUGCAAAUCACUCAGAGAUGUGCGCCAGACUCUGAUCACCUGAGUGGGGGUCUUAGUCCCUGCAAAUCACUCAGAGAUGUGCGCCAGACUCUGAUCACCUGAGUGGGGGUCUUAGUCCCUGCAAAUCACUCAGAGAUGUGCGCCAGACUCUGAUCACCUGAGUGGGGGUCUUAGUCCCUGCAAAUCACUCAGAGAUGUGCGCCAGACUCUGAUCACCUGAGUGGGGGUCUUAGUCCCUGCAAAUCACUCAGAGAUGUGCGCCAGACUCUGAUCACCUGAGUGGGGGUCUUAGUCCCUGCAAAUCACUCAGAGAUGUGCGCCAGACUCUGAUCACCUGAGUGGGGGUCUUAGUCCCUGCAAAUCACUCAGAGAUGUGCGCCAGACUCUGAUCACCUGAGUGGGGACUCUGAUCACCUGAGUGGGGGUCUUAGUCCCUGCAAAUCACUCAGAGAUGUGCGCCAGACUCUGAUCACCUGAGUGGGGGUCUUAGUCCCUGCAAAUCACUCAGAGAUGUGCGCCAGACUCUGAUCACCUGAGUGGGGGUCUUAGUCCCUGCAAAUCACUCAGAGAUGUGCGCCAGACUCUGAUCACCUGAGUGGGGGUCUUAGUCCCUGCAAAUCACUCAGAGAUGUGCGCCAGACUCUGAUCACCUGAGUGGGGGUCUUAGUCCCUGCAAAUCACUCAGAGAUGUGCGCCAGACUCUGAUCACCUGAGUGGGGGUCUUAGUCCCUGCAAAUCACUCAGAGAUGUGCGCCAGACUCUGAUCACCUGAGUGGGGGUCUUAGUCCCUGCAAAUCACUCAGAUGUGCGCCAGACUCUGAUCACCUGAGUGGGGGUCUUAGUCCCUGCAAAUCACUCAGAUGUGCGGCAGACUCUGAUGUCUACCCCUGAGGAGGAAUUAGGACUCUUUUAUCACUGAGCUAUUAGUUCUUCCUUGUUUCACUGCAUUUCCUUUCUUUCUGCAUUCCCUCACUUCCCUAAUUAGCAAUCCCUUGUGUCUGCUCCUUGGAACUUAGGGGAGGCCUUGGAGACAAAUAAGGAAUGAGGGAUGGGACAAGGGGGUCUUUUGUCCCAGGGAGGGCUCUACAGGGUCCUGCUUGGUUUCUGUCCCCCCUUUUCUUUGAUACUCCUCCAUCCUGAGAGGAGCAGGGGCUUGCAAGAAAGGGAAUACAUUUUUGGAUGGAGAGGUUAAUCGUAAGCUCAGCAGGGGAAUUCUGUUGGGGUGGACUUGGUUUCAAUCCCAGAAAGGAGGGCUGGUAGAGAAAGUUUUAUGGUGAAGGCAGCAUCAGAGCUGAGAUCUGCCAGGAGGUAAUGUGAAGGUUUUCCUGUGCAGAGCUAGGAACCAUGAGGUUGCGGGUUCGGUCCCUGCCCUUGCUCAGUGGGUUAACGAUCCGGCGUUGCCGUGAGCUGUGGUGUAGGUUGCAGAUGCGGCUCGGAUCCCACGUUGCUGUGGCUCUGGUGUAGGCCGGUGUCUACAGCUCAGAUUCGACCCUUAGCCUGGGAACCUCCACAUGCCACGGCAGCGGCCCAAGAAAUAGCAAAAAAGCCAAAAAAAAAAAAA
rnacentral:lncRNA from 1 species